rnacentral:lncRNA from 1 species
GUCACUGUUUGCCCCAGUAGCGUGUAUAGCACCUUCCAGCUUACUGAGAGCCAGGCUGAAGGGAUGCAGUUUUCAGAUGCCCCUCAACCAAAGAAUGGAUAGAGAAAUUGUGGUACAUUUACACAAUGGAGUACUACUCAGUGGAAAAAAAACAAUGGCAUCUUGAAACUUGCAGGAAAAUGGAUGGAACUCGAAGAAACCAUUCUGAGCGAGAGCAGGACCAUGGGAACAAUAGAAACACUGGGUUUUCUAAAACUGCGCUCUGUAAAGGAUUGAUUGGUGACUUGACAAAAACUACAUCUGCUUGACAUUCUCUGGAGAAAUGCACAAGGCCACACAGAAAAAUAUCCCCUACUUCCAAGAGGAUUUCUCUAUGCAGCACCCACUGUCCUAGAGUACACUGUGUAGACCAGGUUUGCCUCCUGAGGCCUGGCAUUAUAGAUGUACAACACCAAGUCGGCUUGCCUCUCUGAAGGCCGGCUGGGAAGAUGAGUCCCAGGAGAACCGUGGAAACCCCAUGUUGCACAAGGGCGGGGCCUCCAUCUCUUCCCCUUCCCUGACCGGCUGCUCUGCCAGCUUCUUCACAUGUUCUUUACUGUUUUUUGAGCAAGAAAUGAACUUCUGCUGGGUCUGUUGGCAUGCUUUUCCGUAUCUGUGGGCCAUUUGGAUCUUUUGUACUCUGUAGUAGCACUUACUUGGAUAUUAAUAGUCAUACACUCUAAGUGAUUUCCCGGUUUCUUAUUAUAUUUGAAACUUUUAAGAUGGUGUCUUUGUUAUUUUUACCUUUAUGAAGCAUCUGCCAAUCUUUUGUCUUCACCCUGAGACAAAUCUUCCUACUUCAAGGUUGGACAUACAGCCUCUUCAUUUUCUUCUGCAUACAAAUGUGUGGACAAAGCAGAGACAAUCAAGGUCCAGCCAGCUCUCAGCCCUCCCUCAGUCAGCACCCAGCCAGACUUGAAACCCAGCUUGCCUUGGGAUUGAGUGUAGUCGUGCUUUUAACAGAGCUCUGCCGAAAGGAGUGUGUCGAGAAUAGAAAGGCAGUGUUUGGGGCUGGCCUGGCUCGUAUACUCCUCUCUGUUGUCUGACUGGGAGGCUGACGAGUCGUCUGCUGAAGAUGGAGGGACCUGGAUAUGGAAAUAACAGGAGCAGACAUUGGUGCCUUACACACCGCGGUGAAGGCGAAUGGUAGCCAUUGCUGCUUUCGGCACACCUUGUUUUUUCGCCAGUUCUGAAAGUGACACAGAGGAUGACAAAAGCUCGGAUUGCAGAAGAUGGAUGAAAGCCAUUUUAACUAGCACAACAGUUUGCGGCUACGAGAACGGCUCCGUGAGUGUAGAAGCCGCUCCUCACCAACCAUGCGGUCACGAUGCAUCUAACGAGACUGGGCACUAAUGGCCCUGGGAACAAUGAGGCAAAUUACCAAGUUCCACUAAAAUGUUUCUCCACUUAUCUUCAAUUAUUCAGACCCAAUCUAAUUUCCUUCAAAAUUAAAUGCGGUGGCUCCAGUUAACUUGUGCGACUGAACGUUUAACAACUGUCCCUGCACGUGACUUUGCUGAGAAAGGACGGGCAGGCUACUCCACAUCGGCUCUGAAACACAGCAGUUCCCUGGACAUGUUAAGACAGCGGGUCACAGAAGGCGCAUAGCUGGGCAUUGUCCCCGAAUGCUAAGACUUAAGGAGUCUCUAAACUACCCUCUUCCCAACUGUGCUGCCCUCCAGCCAUCUAACCGCUUCUUCAGCAGCUACCCCAAGCUCCUGGCCACUUUUGUCUAAACCACUAGGUACCUGGACACAGACAAAGCAAAGACCUGAGGUGAAAGUCUGGGAGGACAGAGCACUUAGGAGUAACAUGCACAUUCGGUUUUCACAGGCAGCUGUCACAGAGCUGUCACCCACAGCUGGAUGUCGGGGAGGGGGGCGCACUUCUGGGAUCUACAUCCAGGAGCCAGGCACAGCUAGUUGUCAGGGAAGAACGGUGAAUAGCUUGGUGCUCCUCCCAGCUGGGCUUCUGUGGACGUUAGGGGCCACUGACCUGAGUGCCUCCUAGUUCUCCUCUCCUUCUUUAUCUCCUGUUGCUUUUUCUGUAACCUGCUCUUUCCUGGUCUCUUUGUUGCCCUCUGGGGUCCCAGCUGCAUUAUCAUCUGUCUUUGGAAAAAUUGCAUUUAGUAGAACCAGAACUGUCCCAUUUAAUAGUGUUCCCGUGGGAACAACCCGCCUUAAUGAAGUUAUGAGUGUUUUGGGUGGUGUGACUUUUUCUUCAGAGGGCAUGAGUUGAUCUCAUCAGAAGGGACGAUCUACUUGUUUUAGUCUUCAAAGGCCUGUGCAGCCCUCACACGCAGCCAUUUCUCUGCUUUCUAUGGAAGAGGCCCACACUAAAUGAAUAAUUGCAAGUCAUUUGGCAUUAGAUUAACAUUAUGAUUUAUUUUAUCAAUUGCUAUUAGUUUGUACUUGCAGUAUUUCCCUAGAGUACACAACAAACUCUUCUAAGUCCAACUAGAGACACCUAGGGCUGGAGAUGAAGCCAAAGGGAAAUGAAGACCGUUCCCAAAGUAAAAAAUUCAACAUGCAGUCAGUCAGUACGCACUGCUGUCUUCCUGUAGCCAGCCAAAGAGAGUUUCGAGGGUUUUGGUGUGGAGGUGCCAGCUUGUAACCCCGACUCAGGAUCCAGGGCACAAGAUUGCCUUUAGUUCAGACCCAGGCGUGUCACCCUAAGAAGCCCAGCAAGGGCUGCACAGCAAGACCUCAUCUGAGAAAACAGACAAACAAACAAAGAAAACCAGAGGAAACAGCAUAAAGAAUUGGGGAGGACCAGCAGCCCUGGCUUCCCGCUGGACGUACUGUGCCUUUUGGUGGCCAAAUGCCCUUUGUCCAGUGUGGAACUUUGUCAACCAUGGCCACUGCUGUGAUGGCUCACAGUGUGCCAAGAACAAUACUUAAGACCUCUACAGGGUUUAUCUCAUUUAACCCCCAUGGGACCUGCUGUGUCUGUUUUCAAGAGGAGGUUCAGAGAGGUUGAUUAUCCCACCCAAAGUCACAUGACCUCUCGUGACCUCAGCUUUGAAGAUCUGCUGCCUGUCUUCUUCUUCCUCUUCCUUCUUCUUCUGCCCUUCUGGUUUUCUGAGACAAGGUCUUACCUGUAGCCCAGGCUGUCCUGGAACUCACUAUGUAGACCAGGUUGGUCUCAAACUCUCCUGGGUGCUGGAAUCAAAGGCGUGCCACCAUGCCCAGCUGCUUGCGGCUUGUGUUCCUAAAUCACCCUCCCUCCCCCACACCAUUGCCUCUGGUGAAGACCGACUGUCAGGCCACGAUUUCUUUGUAGAAAAAUAAACUGGGAACUUCUGGGCAUUUAAAAAGUGGAUCUGAGUGCCACGUUGGAUGUGAAGAAAGCCAGAGUUGUUAUGGUUGUGUUCCCCGGCCUGAGAAAUGAACUGGCUCCUUUCACCAGGACGGUCUGAGGAACAAUGAAGCUACAAACGAAAACACACAACAAUGGGGUCCAUGGCAUUUUCAGAGAACUGGUGUGGUUCUUGUUGGAGAAAUUCUCUCUCAAAACAAGAGUCCAAUGGCUGAGACUCUUGGUGAUAAAUAGCUUGCUGUGACAGAGGAACCAUCCUGCUCCCCCACCCCAGUGUCGGAAAAUUAUUUACCAUCCCAUCAGCUGAAGUACCGAAGACAUGUUCUGUUUGAAUUAACUGGGGGAAGAGGGACUCGUGUCAGUCAGCGGGCUGCGAUGAUGGCAGCCGCAGUCUCACGAGGCAGACAAGAAAGAGACAGCAUUAUCCCUGGCGUCCUUGCCCAACUGAUUGGUGCUUUUAGGGUAAUUAAUCCUCGUUUCAAGUAUAAUUGGACUCUUAUUGAUCGAAGCAGCAACGUACGAUGUGGCCCAUGGAACACAGAAAGACAGACUUCCUUCCCAGCAGAACACGGUUAAUUUGAACUCCAGAUCUUUCGCAUUUCAUUCACACACUUGAGCAAGCCCCCUGCUUUGCAACUGAUUUAGGCUGUAAUGUUUUGUGAGCUUAGAUGAGAAUUUAUUGUUAUUUUUUCUUCAGGAACAUAGAUUAUCAGGGAAUUUUCACUGACUUCCGCUUUGCUUAUCAGUUCAGGCACCAGCUUUCCAAAGCUGAGUGAGUCACGCUGCAAUGUUCUAAUGAAUUUCAGAUAGUGUGAAUUAAACAUUGACAAACAUCUGAGAAAACAAAACUACGUGUGAAUUACAAGGGUAGAUACAUUAAAAUUGUGGUUUAACACAGCUACCUUCAUUAAAGAAAAACAAAACAAAAAACCCUAACAGCUCAGGCUGAGCAGCUAGGGAUGCUGUGUGAGCAGGAGCCAAAGGACCAGCGAAGGGGGUUUGUGGGAAGUAGCUCCUGAGGUUCAUUCAGAGUCUGUGCUGGGACCUUUUGUGUGAGAAACUGUGCCUUCAUGUCAGGGAAAGGUGCCUGGGCCAUAGCUUCAGAUGAGAUACACAGUGUUUUUCUCUUCAAAGGCUAGAGAUUACCACUGCAGCAAGAAUGCAAAUUUCUAAACAGAUGAUCAUGACAGAUGAGAACAAAAAGUUGAAAUAAAAAUUUUCAAGUUCUAAUUACUCUUAUCAGCUAAAUCCAAAUCAUCUCAGUAUGUGAGACACACACACACACACAUACACACACACCCGCACACAUGCACACGCACACGCACACGCACACACACAUGCACACGCACACACAAACACAUAGACACAUGAAUUUUUUAUCUGUUUAGUGGCUGUACAUAAAUUUACUGAUAUUUUAAGUAUCCUCUGCCACCCCACAGUCCCUCAGUCAGCACUCUGCUGACCACUUAUGCCAAAGCCUGGUGGGACUUCUGGUCCAACCCCCCCAAAAAGAUAUCACCAUGUAUCCCCCCUUUUUUGUCUAAAAUUUAGAAAAGGUUCUAACUAAUAUAAGAAAAACUAUAUACAAUAAGUAUAACUAUAUACAAUAUAUAUAGGCAAUAAGUACAUCAACAAUGUCUAGUCCAUCAGCAUUUGACAAAUUCAGAGAAAACACUCCAUUAUCUACUCUUUCUUGAUGAGUCCAAAGUCUUGUACCUAAUUUACUUUCUACUCUAAUUUGCACUAACAGGUUAUCUUCUAAUGUCUUUCAAACCCUUUACACUUAACACAUCUUUAGUGAGUUUCUUUACUGAGUCUGGUAAACAAGGAAAAGUAUAUCUCUAUUAUUGAGUCUUCUACUCCCAAAGAGACCAGAAAAGGAAGUAAUAUUAACUGAGUAAACAGGAAGUGCAGGCAAACGACUUCCGAAAAGUGUGAGAAAUGACAGAAACUGCUGGCUGCCUGCACAGCCACCCAGGACUGCUCUGCCACACUGGAGCAUCCAUCUUUGGUCUAUAGGCCGAGCAUGUCUGACAGACGUUUCUGUGAACCAGGAUAUUCUGAAGGACAGGGCUGCCUUGUCUUGGCAAGGUUUGCAGUCACUGUUUUUCAUGUUCUGCUAGUCCAAUUUGGACAGAAUACUCUCAGCAGUUGAGGCAAGGGCACUUUCUUGCCCAAGGGCUUACUUUUAUCGCAAAGAACUCAAACUCCACAUGGAGUUUCUUCAAUGCCCAUCAUCUUCUCUGAAGUAGAUUGUUGCUGCCAGGAGAAGACACGUCUCAUAGUCAUAAAACAAGAAACUCUGUUAUUAAAACGUGUUAAAUGCCAUAUUCUGUAAAUCUCUGAAUAUUUGAAGACCAUCUGUCUUUCUAAAAUAUCUGUUUAACCUUGUAAGCAUACCUAAUGUGACUACAAGUUCGAUUGUAAUAGUUGACUAAUUACUAAACUACAUUUCCUUAUUAUCCCAUAUAGUUGAUAAUAAUAACUUUCAAGGACUAGAAAUUUGUAUUACAUUGUUAAAUGAGCUUUAUAGGUACAAUACCUUGAACAAUAUUAGAAACAUGUGCGCAGUAUGUUUUAGCAAAAUUAAUCUCAAAUUUGUAUCAAUAUACAUUUGUAUACAGUAUAUAAAAAUCCAAUCCAAUGUAAAAUAUUUAAAACUAGUAGUUGCUUUUAAAGAGUAGAUUCAAUAAUUUACCUUUUAAUCUCAUCAUAAUCUACCCUCCCUUUUUUCUUUUCAGGGUAGAUUCAGUAAUCUACCCUUUUUAUACUAUUAUAUCUAGAUGCCUCUUAUUUUCAAAACAAAAACCUUGAAUAUAAUUCCAUUUGUUCAAAUUUCUUCCUGAUCAUAAACAACAACAUUUUGUAACAAAUCCCCCUAAACAAUGACAAAUAUCCAUAACGCAGCGAGUGACCAAAAUCCACCCACCCUACCUCUUGAGAAUGUGGGCACUGUGUUCUUAAAGUUACUUCCUGCUGUGGGGGGGGCAAUGGCAUCUUUAGGGGAUCCUGAAAAGAUAGUUUGGGUUAAUUGUCAAGCUGUAUCAUUUGUUGUCCAGUCUCUGCAUGAUGGGCAAGUCCAAGGCUUCUUUCAAGUGCUGGCUAACGUAGUCUGUGAGGCAGGAACACCUCAGCAAGUCAUCUCAAAAUUGUCAUGAGCAAUUUGUGGUCCAAAGCUGAUCUUUAGUUGGUGUUGUUCAGCAUAAUGGUGUUGUGAUAGUCCUGGUGAAAUUGUCGUUGUGGGGCCCCGUCCUCAUUUGGAGACUUCAAAAGGUUGCUGUUAGGCGUGGCCAUGGUUUACUGUAGAAAACUGAUACUCAAACCAGAAAUCAUGUACAGGAAGGUAGACAAAACCCUUUUCUAGAAUUGGUUAGUACUCUAUAUGACCAUUAAUAUCAUGACAAAAAUUAUGAGAUUAGUAGCAAUACAAUAGUCCUAAAUAUUUGCUUUUCUUCUAUUCCAUAUCAGAUGGCUCUUCUGACAUGAGACAGAGAUUUUGAAUUUUACUUUAACAAGCAUGCUUGGGUUUAGAGAAGGAGAGAGCCACACUCCAGCUCCAAAGCCAGUUUUUAAUAUUUAAUUGGACUGGGACUACCAAAGAUCAUUCAUAUACAUGUCUGUAGGGGAAAAAGGUACAAACAUUUGGGAAGAUUUGUGAACUUUUACCCUGUGGUAAAUGUGAUACACAAAUAGGCCGAUCUGCUCUUUUUCUUGGGACAAUUAUCCUAGAUGAUUUAUUCUUUUCCUUCAGAUGUCUCAUUUGUCCAGUCGUCUCCAGAUUCAUUAGCUGGAGACCUUUCUUUUCCUGGAAAGACAAAGAUAAAACCCUUCCCCAACCCUAAAUUUUGGAGAGGUUCUCCUUGGCAAGUUAUAUCUGAUCAAAUAAAAGCAUUUGUUAGUUUUAUAGGUUAGUUUAGAUUAAAUGAUCAUGCUGCUUGAUGAACUAUCAUCUCUUUUAAUUAAGAGGUGUCAUGUUUAAAUUGAAUCUUUAUUAAUUUUGAUGCUAUCCAUAUUUUUUCUGUGGAAACAAAAGCAAAACCUCUCCCCCAAUGUAACACGUGUCCUGGUUUCCAUUCAGAGGUCAGCACAUCUUUGAAGUACACUGACUGGUUUAAUUCUCUAGUUUUCUUUAUUAGCCAAUGUCUCUCUGAAGCUGUUGUUCCUUUCUCAUUAUCAUUCAGAAAAUUCAAAGUUAAUAAAGCACCGUGC